ACUGACUCCAUGUUUGAUGACUUUACAAUCACAGAGAGCUGUUGACUGACUCCAUGUUUGAUGACUUUACAAUCACAGAGAGCUGUUGACUGACUCCAUGUUUGAUGUCUUUACAAUCACAGAGAUGUUGACUUCAGAUGCUUGAUGACUUUACAAUCACCAAAGUUGUUCUUCUUUGGACAACCGUUCUAAAACCAUGAAAGGGCUUUUUGGUUUCUUCUUCUUCAGUGUCUGAUAAGAGAACAUUCUAGUGUUUCUAUGCAAAAGGAAACAUGCUUUAUUUGACCGUGGAAAGAUCCAGUAUCUCCAAUACGAUUCCAAAGGACUUGACUUUGCAUUAAGACCAUGGAAGACUAUCAGUCUGUGGAUGAUGUGUUUUAUAAAUGGCUUUGAUAAAAUAAUACUCUGGAUUCAUGCAUGUCUGUUUACCUUAAGCCAUGAAAUGGAGGAAGAACCUUGGAUAAGGCAGAGGCAUAUUUGAACAGUGAUACAAUUCAGAUAGUGGAAUCAGUGACCCCUGCUGGUUGAAAUAUGACAUUGCAGGAUGGUGAUGAAUCAACUGGAGGCUGGCUGGCUGCUGAAGGAUGGAUGAACACAAUGGACUCAACUUCCACAUUGUUCUGUUCAUAACUCAUCAGUCUUUGGUCGACGCACCACAAACACAUCAAGUAUCUACUAUUAAAUGUGGGCUGGGUUUUCACUGUUGGAAAUGGAUGUUUCAGGAAAAACCUUCAAGUCACGUAUCAUAUAUGCAAUCUAAGACUUACUAAACCAGUUGACUUAGUUGGCUUACUGCAACACAAGAACCAUUACUGACCUCCUACUUCUGUGUUGGACUACUAGGUGGAACAGUCAUUCUGUUAGAAGGAACAACGUUAAAAUGUGUUGGACUACUAGGUGGAACAGUCAUUCUGUUAGAAGGAACAACGUUACAAUGUGAUGGACUACUAGGUGGAACAGUCAUUCUGUUAGAAGGAACAACGUUACAAUGUGAUGGACUACUAGGUGGAACAGUCAUUCUGUUAGAAGGAACAACGUUACAAUGUGAUGGACUACUAGGUGAAACAGUAAUUCUGUUAGAAGGAACAACGUUACAAUGUGAUGGACUACUAGGUGGAACAGCCAUUCUGUUAGAAGGAACAACGUUACAAUGUGAUGGACUACUAGGUGGAACAGUCAUUCUGUUAGGAGGAACAACGUUACAAUGUGAUGGACUACUAGGUGGAACAGCCAUUCUGUUAGAAGGAACAAUGUUACAAUGUGAUGGACUACUAGGUGGAACAGCCAUUCUGUUAGAAGGAACAACGUUACAAUGUGAUGGACUACUAGGUGGAACAGUCAUUCUGUUAGAAGGAACAACGUUACAAUGUGUUGGACUACUAGGUGGAACAGCCAUUCUGUUAGAAGGAACAACGUUACAAUGUGUUGGACUACUAGGUGGAACAGGCAUUCUGUUAGAAGGAACAACGUUACAAUGUGUUGGACUACUAGGUGGAACAGGCAUUCUGUUAGAAGGAACAACGUUACAAUGUGUUGGACUACUAGGUGGAACAGGCAUUCUGUUAGAAGGAACAACGUUACAAUGUGAUGGACUACUAGGUGGAACAGCCAUUCUGUUAGAAGGAACAACGUUACAAUGUGAUGGACUACUAGGUGGAACAGUCAUUCUGUUAGAAGGAACAACGUUACAAUGUGAUGGACUACUAGGUGGAACAGUCAUUCUGUUAGAAGGAACAACGUUACAAUGUGUUGAUAUCAGGAUCUCCAAGGUGUCUUUCAUCUGAGUUUUACUGUUUGACUCCAAAGACUCUUAUGAUGGUUUAUAGCUUUCAGCUAAAUUCAUGCAUUAAAUUAUUAUAUUUUUCACGACCAUCUCUUCUUUCUAAUUCAAAUGCCUUUAGUGAUGAAUGAAAUUAUUAUAAAAUGCAUCAUUGAGAAUAAUUGGAUGGGAUACUACUAGUAUUGCUGCUGGACAUUAAACACUACUGUCAGAUGUUACUGUCUAGUGAUUUUCUAAGUGGUGUUUUUUAUCAGUCUGUCCCUUUCACUUUGACAGUGAUGCUCUAAUGAUGUCAUAUCAUCAUGUGGUAACUGUCCUCAUGAUGCAGUAUUGUUGAUAAAAGAUGCUGUUGCCCAUGUGUAUGUAUGUAAUGUGAUUGACAUGUCCUGAGUCCUGUGUCCCACGUGGUACCCUUUAACCCUAUGUAGUGCACUACUUUUGACCAGGGCCCAUAGGGAAUAGGGAACCAUUUGGAACAGAGGCCUGAGAGUCUAGGAGGAUAUAUGAUUCACACAGCACAGUUUGAUUGACAUGUAGGAUAAUCUGCAAUGGAUCAGUAAUAAUACAAUGAAUAAACUUCCCCUUUAUUUUAAAGCUG